rnacentral:rRNA from 1 species
UACGUAGGGUGCGAGCGUUGUCCGGAAUUAUUGGGCGUAAAGGGCUCGUAGGCGGUUUGUCACGUCGGGAGUGAAAACUCGGGGCUUAACCCCGAGCCUGCUUCCGAUACGGGCAGACUAGAGGUAUGCAGGGGAGAACGGAAUUCCUGGUGUAGCGGUGAAAUGCGCAGAUAUCAGGAGGAACACCGGUGGCGAAGGCGGUUCUCUGGGCAUUACCUGACGCUGAGGCGCGAAAGCUAGGGGAGCAAACGGG